rnacentral:rRNA from 1 species
GAUGAGUCUGCGUCCCAUUAGCUAGACGGCGGGGUAACGGCCCACCGUGGCGACGAUGGGUAGCCGGCCUGAGAGGGUGGACGGCCACAUUGGAACUGAGACACGGUCCAGACUCCUACGGGAGGCAGCAGCUAAGAAUCUUCCGCAAUGGGCGAAAGCCUGACGGAGCGACGCCGCGUGAACGAAGAAGGCCGUGAGGUUGUAAAGUUCUUUUCGGGAGGGGGAACAACCGUGGCAGGGAAUGGCCGCGGGAUGACGUGAAUCCCGGAAUAAGCCCCGGCUAACUACGUGCCAGCAGCCGCGGUAACACGUAGGGGGCGAGCGUUGUUCGGAAUCAUUGGGCGUAAAGGGCGUGCAGGCGGUCCUGCAAGUCCGGCGUGAAAGACCCCGGCCCAACCGGGGGGGCGCGCUGGAAACUGGAGGGCUUGAGUACAGGAGGGGAUGCCGGAAUUCCAGGUGUAGGGGUGAAAUCUGUAGAUAUCUGGAAGAACACCAAUGGCGAAGGCAGGCAUCUGGCCAUGUACUGACGCUGAGACGCGAAGGUGCGGGGAGCAAACAGGUUUAGAUACCCUGGUAGUCCGCACAGUAAA